rnacentral:tRNA from 1 species
AUAAAAAUAAGCUAAAAAAGCUAAAUGGUUCAUACCCAUUCGAUAGAGAAAUCUUUUUUAUU